rnacentral:lncRNA from 1 species
AUAAUAUGCAUAGUUAUUAUUGGGGGGAAAAGAUGUCUUAACUGUCUCUGUGGUGUUUUUUUUCCUUACAGGAUAGCUCAUCAGUCAUCCAGUUUGUGACCCGAGCCAAAGUGAAAGUGGAUGCUACUCUCAGGGUGGUGGAAAUAGCCAACGGGAACCCAGAAGAGGUCAUGGUGGUCUUUGAAGCGCUGCACAAUUUGGAGCCUCGUGGUUAUGUUGUGGGCUGGAUUAUUGCCAUCAGCUUGCUGGUGGGCAUCCUCAUCUUUUUGUUACUGGCCGUGCUCUUGUGGAAGAUGGGCUUCUUUCGCAGAAGGUACAAAGAAAUUAUUGAAGCUGAGAAAAACCGGAAAGAGAAUGAAGACAGUUGGGACUGGGUCCAGAAAAGCCAGUGAGGCACCAUGCAACCCACCACCGGUCACGUGCCGCCAUGCCUGCUCACCUCUUGUCCCUGUUCUUUGUAUCUUCCAUAUGUGGAAGAAGGAAUCUUCUCCAGAUUUUUCGGAGGCCCGUCGAUGCAGUCUUGUUCCUCGUUCUACCAAUCAAGGGAGCAGAUCCCGAGGCCACCCCUGCAGCGCUGGCACGUGACCUGAGCAGCGCACCGAGGCUGGAACGGGUGAAUCAUGAACUCCAGAGAGCAAGCUGUGUGCUGAGCAAUAUUUAUGAGUCCAACGUAUGUGGUAAACCCUCAGGGGAAGACUUGCCUAGAAGUAUUUUUUAUAAAUACAAGCCUUUUAUACUGAUUAUGUCUUUAUAUUUGUAUCAAUGUUUUAUUAUUUCUAUUAAAUAGCUAUAUAGUUCACUCAAGCACUGAUUUCUGGCUGAAACCUGGGAGAUACAUAUAUAUGUAUGUGUGUGUGUGUGUAUAUAAAUAUAUUUUAAAAACCUAUUGUAUGUUUGAACUUAUUACCCAACAGACUUGCCGCUGAAAUGAGCUAAAGGAAAUUGUUAUUGCCUCUCAUAGAAAAACAAUAGGCCUGGCAUUGCCACGUACAGGCGGCAUAGGGUGGUGCCACAUACGGGAUGCUGGAUCAGCUGCGUGUGAUGGUGGCACUUGGCAGCCUCUACGUUUCUCUCAAUGUAAGUUGGGUGUGAAUGGAAGCUUGAGGGCUUUUCGCCAAUGCUCUUCUUUCAAAGAGACCCAUCACGUCCAGAAGGGGGAGGAGCAAAACCUGGCCACUGGGGCCCCAACCUGUCUUGCCUUCAUUUGGUGGAUUAGGAGCAUGGUAGAGAGAGGCCUCAUGCCUUCCACCAGGCUGAUGCCGGCCGAAAUCCUUGCCUUGGGUCUCAUCUGUGUCACUGAGACGCCACACCCAAACCUUCGGGGUCGGACAGCUCCGUCCAUCUCCAGGGCCAUCUGAGACGCCUCAAGCUGGGGGUGGGGCACUGGCUGCCAUCCCCAUUCACAAACGGGGACCUUGCCUUCUUCCUCUUCUUGAGCUCAUUACGGCUUCAUGCCCAAGCUGCCCAGGAAGCCAGCCCUGGCCGGCACCACGAGAGGCGUAAGAGAUGCCACAGAUACCAGGUAGAUUGCUCAGUGGAGUGCUUUGCCCUCGUUAUCGAGGCUUCUCCUUUGGAAGGGUUUGACAUCAGAAGCAUUCUGCUGCUGUAUCUGAAUCCCAGAGCUGUUUUCUAUGAGAAGGCUUUGUCUCAGCUGUAAAGCUGCUGGAAUCUCCCCAUCAGAGCCAUCUUUUUCAAGGCACACCGUGGGCUCGGUGUGAGCAGAUCCAGAUAGACCUGUGCGAGGAGUUGUGGCAGACUUGGUGUUCCCCCAGCCCUAGAAUGGAAAGAGAGCUCCUCGUGCCCAGCUGCGUGCCGGCAGUGUCUGAUAUAAGUUGAGCAGUAACCUCCCAGAGGCCCUUCCAGAUCGAAGCCUUAUGCCUGGAGUGAGUUAGUGAGCCUCCUUCUAAAGGCUGAGGCUUCCCUUGGGUUUUCGAGGACAAAGGAAGAAGCAGCUACAGGCUGUCACAAAGUGAGUCUGACGUCUCGGCAUCUCAGCCUAGCAGCUACUAGUCAAGUUUCUUGGACCUCUCUCUUUGCGUCUGAUUUUUAAUAUUGUUUUGUCCUGAGACUAAAUGCAUUUGGUCAUAGAAGAAUCAUUUAUUCCACCUUUCCUUGCAUCAGAGCGGAUGAUGGGGACACUGGGAGUGACAGAAUAAAUGAAAUUCUCCUGGCCA